rnacentral:rRNA from 1 species
CACGUAGGGCGCAAGCGUUGUCCGGAAUUAUUGGGCGUAAAGAGCUCGUAGGCGGUCUGUUGCGUCCGCUGUGAAAACUCGGGGCUUAACCCCGAGCCUGCAGUGGAUACGGGCAGACUAGAGGUAGGUAGGGGGAGAAUGGAAUUCCCGGUGUAGCGGUGAAAUGCGCAGAUAUCAGGAGGAACACCGGUGGCGAAGGCGGGGUCUCUGGGCCAUUACUGACGCUGAGGAGCGAAAGCGUGGGGAGCGAACAGG